rnacentral:lncRNA from 1 species
UCCACAUUGAACUACACAUUUUAUAGGCAUGUAUGGUUGUCUAAUUAACUGUUAGGUUCAGAUAAUUACAAAGUCCCCGACGGGAUAUCUUGUCCAAUUUAAAAAUCUACCGGAAUGUUUUUUCAUUGAAAAUAGUGUUGAAUUUAAAGCACCACCAAAAAAUGAUGUAAGCACCAGAGGAGGAACUCAGGAAGCUUCUGUCUGUCUUAAGGUCUUACAUCCAGAGCUUCGGGUCCAAACUGGUGUUGUCCAUUCCAGAGGCCAAUUCUGGUAUAUCAUUUAAAAAAUCAUAUCAGCACCAAAAAAAACCUUACCACUACAGAUGAUAGCUUAAAUUCCACAACAAUGUCCAAUAAACAGGAAGAUGGGGUCUACAAAACUCUUUUGGGGUCUAAGAUUGUUUGUUAUGCUCAUAAGUCCACAGCCACAAAUGGUCCAAUCUUCACAAGUACUGGGGUCUGUUGGUGUAUAUAUCAUUAAGAAAAAUAUAAGCACCACAGAAAAAAAACUUAGCACCACGGGAGGUAGCUUCCCUCCAAUUGGUCCAACUGAAGUGCAUAGGGGUCCAAAGCACUCUAUUGGGGUCGAAGUUGAUUUUCUAUGCUCAUCAGUCCGCAAGCACAUAUGGUAAAAUCUACACAAGUCCUGGGGUCUGUUGGUGUAUAUAUCAUUUAAGAAAAAUAUAAGCACCACAGAAAAAAAACUAAGCACCACGGGAGGUAGCUUUCCUCCAAUUGGUCCAACUGACAUGUAUAGGGGUCUAAAGCACUCUAUUGGGGUAAGUUGGUUUGUUAUGCUCAUUAGUCCACAGGCACAUAUGGUAAAAUCUACAAAAGUCCUGGGGUCUGUUGGUGUAUAUAUCAUUUAAGAAAAAUAUAAGCACCACAGAAAAAAAAACUUAGCACCACGGGAGGUAGCUUUCUCCAAUUGGUCCAACUGACGUGAAUAUAGGGGUCUAAAGCACUCUAUUUGGGGUCUAAGAUUGGUUUGUUAUGCUCAUUAGUCCACAGGCACAUAUGGUAAAAUCUACAAAAGUCCUAGGGUCUGUUGGUGUAUAUAUCAUUAAGAAAAAUAUAAGCACCACAGAAAAAAAAACUUAGCACCACGGGAGGUAGCUUCCCUCCAAUUGGUCCAACUGACGUGUAUAGGGGUCUAAAGCACUCUAUUGGGGUCUAAGUAGGUUUGUUAUGCUCAUUAGUCCACAGGCACAUAUGGUAAAAUCUACAAAAGUCCUAGGGUCUGUUGGUGUACAAAUGUAUAUCAUUUAAGAAAAAUAUAAGCACCACAGAAAAAAAACUUAGCACCACGGGAGGUAGCUUCCCUCCAAUUGGUCCAACUGAAGUGUAUAGGGGUCUAAAGCACUCUAUUGGGGUCUAAGAUGGUUUGUUAAGCUCAUUACGUCAACAGGCACAUAUGGUCCAAAUCUACACAAGUCCUGGGGUCUUUUGGUGUAUAUAUCAUUUAAGAAAAAUAUAAGCACCACAGAAAAAAACUUAGCACCACGGGAGGUAGCUUCCCUCCAAUUGGUCCAACUGACGUGUAAGGGGUCUAAAGCACUCUAUUGGGGUCUAAGAUGGUUUGUUAAGCUCAUUAGUCCACAGGCACAUAUGGUCCAAAUCUACAAAGUCCUGGGGUCUUUUGGUGUAUAUAUCAUUUAAGAAAAAUAUAAGCACCACAGAAAAAAAACUUAGCACCACAGGAGGUAGCUUCCCUCCAAUUGGUCCAACUGACGUGUAUAGGGGUCUAAAGCACUCUAUUGGGGUCUAGAUGGUUUGUUAAGCUCAUUAGUCCACAGGCACAUAAUGGUCCAAUCUACACAAGUCCUGGGGUCUUUUGGUGUAUAUAUCAUUUAAGAAAAAUAUAAGCACCACAGAAAAAAAACUUAGCACCACGGGAGGUAGCUUCCCUCCAAUUGGUCCAACUGACGUGUAUAGGGGGUCUAAAGCACUCUAUUGGGGUCUAAGAUGGUUUGUUAUGCUCAUUAGUCCACAGGCACAUAUGGUAAAAUCUACAAAAGUCCUAGGGUCUGUUGGUGUAUAUAUCAUUUAAGAAAAAUAUAAGCACCACAGAAAAAAACUUAGCACCACGGGAGGUAGCUUUCUUCCAAUUGGUCCAACUGACGUGUAUAGGGGUCUAAAGCACUCUAUUGGGUCUAAGUUGGUUUGUUAUGCUCAUUAGUCCACAGGCACAUAUGGUAAAAUCUACACAAGUCCUAGGGUCUGUUGGUGUAUAUAUCAUUUAAGAAAAAUAUAAGCACCACAGAAAAAAAACUUAGCACCACGGGAGGUAGCUUCCCUCCAAUUGGUCCAACUGACGUGUAUAGGGGUCUAAAGCACUCUAUUGGGGUCUAAGUAGGUUUGUUAUGCUCAUUAGUCCACAGGCACAUAUGGUAAAAUCUACAAAAGUCCUAGGGUCUGUUGGUGUACAAAUGUAUAUCAUUUAAGAAAAAUAUAAGCACCACAGAAAAAAAAACUUAGCACCACGGGAGGUAGCUUCCCUCCAAUUGGUCCAACUGACGUGUAUAGGGGUCUAAAGCACUCUAUUGGGGUCUCUAAGAUGGUUUGUUAUGCUCAUUACCAAAGGCAAUAUGGUCCAAUCUACACAAGUCCUGGGGUCUUUGGUGUAUAUAUCAUUUAAGAAAAAUAUAAGCACCACAGAAAAAACUUAGCACCACGGGAGUAGUUUCUCCAAUUGGUCCAACUGACGUGAAUAGGGGUCUAAAGCACUCUAUUGGGGUCUAAUGGUUUGUUAAGCUCAUUAGUCCACAGGCACAUAUGGUAAAAUCUACAAAAGUCCUAGGGUCUGUUGGUGUAUAUAUCAUUUAAGAAAAAUAUAAGCACCACAGAAAAAAAAACUUAGCACCACAUGAGGUAGCUUCCCUCCAAUUGGUCCAACUGACAUGUAUAGGGGUCUAAAGCACUAUAUUGGGGUCGUAGAUGGUUUGUUAUGCUCAUUAGUCCACAGGCACAUAUGGUAAAAUCUACACAAGUCCUGGGGUCUUUUGAUGUAUAUAUCAUUUCAGAAAAAUAUAAGCACCACGGAAAAUGGACUUAGCACCAUGGGAGGUAGCUUUCCUGCAAUUGGUCCAACUGACGUGUAUAGGGGUCCAAAGCACUCUAUUGGGGUCUUAGAUGGUUUGUUUAGCUCAUUUGUCCACAGGCACAUACGAUCCAAACUACACAAGUCCUGGGGUCUUUUGAUGUACAUAUCAUUUAAGAAAAAUAUAAGCACCACAGAAAAUUGGACUUAGCACCACAGGAGGUGGUUUGCCAUCCAUUGGUUCAACAAACAGGUAAAAUAAUUUUUAAUGCUGUUUGGUGUUCUAAGUUGGUUUGUAAGGCUCAUUGGUCCACAGACAACUUUGAUCCACUCUUCAAGUCAAGAGGUCUUUUAUAUUAUAUUUUAUUUGAUGAAAAUAUAAACACCACCAAAAAAAACUUUGCACAUCUGGAGAGGUAGCUUCCCUCCCAAUAGUCCAAAGGAUUGGUAGUGGGUCUAAAAAUAGUCUAUGGCGUUCUCAUUUGCUUUGUAAGGCCUGUUGGUCCAAAAUCAACUGUGGUCCAAUCUACAUUAGUCUAGGGGUCUCUGGUUAUAUUUCACUGAAGAAAAAUAUAAGCACCACCAAAAAGAAAUGUAGCACCACAGGAGGUUACUUUCCUCCAUUUGGUCCAACAGAUGGGUAUAGGGGUCUAAAUACUCUUAGGGGUACUAAGUUGGUUUGUAAGGCUCAUUGGUCAACAGGAAACUGUGGUCUAAUCUUUAAGUUAAGGGUUCUCAUAGGGUAUAUUUCAUUAAAGAAAAAUAUAAGCACCAAGAAAAAAAAACUAAGCACCAUGGGAGGUAGCUUUCCUCUCGUUGGCCCAACAGACAGAUUUAGGGGUCUAACACAUUCUUUGGGUCCAAGAUGGUUUGAAAAGCACAUGUGGGGCGAUCUUCUAGUCCAGAGGUCUGUUGUGGUAUAUUUCAUUUAAGAAAUAUAAUUAGCACCACCAAAAAUGAACUUAGCACCACGAAUGAUUGCUUCCACCCCCUUGAUCCAAUAAACAGGUAUAGGGAUGUAAAAAAGCACUUUGAGAGGUCUAUCAUGAUUUAUAUGGCCCACUGUAUGUGUCCAAUCUACGAGUCCAGGAGUUUUAUGAUAUAUUUCAUUAAAGAAAAACUUGAUUUUGCUUUAUAGGGCCAUUUGGUCUACAUGUAUGCACAAAAUGUUACUGACAGGUCUGUAUCCUUAAAGCUGUGUAAAUGCAAACAAAUGUUGUGAGGAGAUUUAAAAGUCAGAAAAAUUGUAUUUCUUAUGAUAAUUCUCCAUUGCUCUUCCUGUCCUCAAGGCAAAAACCCUCUACAGGAGCACAUGAAAUAGUAUGAAAUCAGCACCUUAAACAUAAAGUAGCUUUGUAAAAAAGAAGAAAAAAAAAAAAAUAUGAUAUUCAGCAAUGAUAACAAACUGCUGACUUGGAACAGUCACAUAUAGAAAAUCAUAAAUAACAUGACAUGUACAUUAUGGUGUGAUAUUUAAAAUCAUAUGCUAAAUUAUUGAUUCUUAAUUGUACAUCAUUUUUAUGAAAUUGUGUGUCUAACUAGAUAUCUAAGUCUUGUUUUUCUUUCCGCAGAUUAUCCAAAUUGACAUCAAAAGUGUUCAGAUAUCAGAUGUAUAACAGCUAAAGAAUGAAAUUAUUUUGGUCAUUUCACAGCUUUUGCCUACAGUCAACUUUUUAUGGUAGGAUAAUAUGCACGUCUUAAGUAUUAAUAGUGUAUACAAAUGUAAACAUGUAAACGAAAUCAAUGUAUACACACUUUUUAUCAAUUAAUAAUUUGUUCAUUCAUUUUCACAUAUUUUGAUAAAUUACAUUGCACAUAAUCUAAAUAAAUUAUCACACAUUAAAGUAAACAAUAAGUAUAUGCAAUUGGAUAAAUAUAAGUUUCAAGUAGACAAUUAUUCUAUGAUAUUACAAAAGUGGCAGAUGACCUGUAGUUGUUAAUUCUGUAUCAUUUGGUCUCUUGUAAAGAGUUUGUCUCAUAGGCAAAUACAUGUACAAUCUGAUUAGGGAAGCUGAUUUUACUGAUUCAGACAAUUUAUUUCGUUCUAUCUUGCUUGAUUAUGUAGCAUUAAACAAUUGUCAGUAGCAAACAUGUAUUUGAAUUUCAAGUUAUUAUUUUAAUAGAUUAAGGCUUUACUUUUUCAGUGAAUCAAAGAAUGAAGAGAAAUCAACUUAUUUAUACCCAAGCUGACCAACUGUCAAGAAAGAGAAGACAAGGCAACUCCAUCUGAAGGAAAUUAAAAGAAAAGAUUUUAUUGUUAAAAAACAAUAGAUGUGAAAAUGUUAAAAUUUUCAAUCUAAAACACACA